rnacentral:lncRNA from 1 species
AAGAAAGAGUGAGAGGAGAGAGAGCAAGAUGGAGGGGGCGAGAGAGAGACAGACGGAGGGCGCAGAAAGCCUCUGGCCAGGAGGGGCCUGGUGUGGGGAUCUGACCGGGGUUUAUCUUCUCCAGGCCUCCGUUUUCUCAUCUGUAAAACCAAACCUGAGCUAAGUGACCCCCAAGGGCCCCUGGACUCUGAUAGGCAGAUCCUGCGGUGGGAGGCAUCUUGAGAAGGGGUUGGGGCGAUGGGUCCCACAGCCUCAUAAUUCUCCAGAGGUGGUUAAUGCUUUAAUAUUCCAUCCCCCACUGUCGGUUCAAUAUAACUAGUCUCCUCUGGCACCCAGGAAGCUGGAGCUCAGAGAGGUGGAGACGUUUUGCCGAGGCCACACAGCCGACUGUGAUGAGAUAGGACCUAGGGCACUGAGUCCGGCGGGCUGGCCCUUUCCCCCCACCGUCUGCCCUCUUGUGUCUGCGGGCCCAGAUCGGAGUCUCCCCGUGGCUGUCCCAGGGUCUCUGCUGCUUCCUCCCUUCCUGGCCCUCGGUGCUCGCAGACAGGGGCAGAGGCGACCAGCCUCGCCCGGGCUCUUCCCAUGCGCGGCCUCUCUCCCAGCAGAGGGCAGGGCAGAAUGGGCCCUCCCCAACCCCCCACCCCCCCGACUCCCCUCUCCUCCCUUCCUCAGCGAGAAACUGCAGCCUGGGACCCUUCACCAGGGAGAGAAAGAAACUCAGGGAGCAGGCCCGCUUCCUGCUGCCACCCCCCGUGGGGCUGCUGCCCGAGCGCACGGGCGUGACCAAUGGUGAAGGGCGAGCGGGAACCCCGGGUGCUCUUCCAGGGGAUUGGUGGACGUGAAUUCAUUCGACCUCAUGAAGGCCUUGGGGUUCACCCUGUGGUGCUCAUGCCCAACCAUUUGGUGUUCCUGGAAUAUCCUGGGCUCUCCCACGUCCCCGUCACUUUUGUGCUCUGGUCCGUCUUCCCUCCCAAAAGAGAGACUUUCUGGUCAGCUCGGACUCUCUCCUGGAGUCCCACUUUGGGGAGCAUGUCCUCUCCCCCUGCCGGCCCAGCCUGGAACAGGCCCUGCGCUUUCUGGCAUGGCCUCCCUCAGGGCACUGACCACAUGGUGCUCUAUCCUCGAUGCUGUGUCUGCAGGGACCCCAGCAACAAGGACUGUUGGCAAGCUGUGGGCCAAUGGGUGGAAUCCAGGGCUGGUCACGGAGAGCAGCUGAUUCCGCUACUCAUGCAAAGGGAGGGGCCAGCUGCGGGAACCGGGAAAGGGAAACCCCCUGGAGAGGCCCCUGCAGGAGAUGUGGGUUCUCCUGGAGGGAUGGAGCCAGCCUGCGGCUACCCAGCAGGGCAGGGUCAGGGGAGUAGACGGUCCAGCUUCACUCUCCCCAAACUCCAACCUCCAGCACUUCCCCACUGCAAGCCGAGGGCGGGGAGCCCGGGAUGCUGUCCGUUGGGUUGGCCUUCAGGCAGAGAGCAGGGGGCUGGGAGGAGAGUGGGUCUGGAGAGGCAGAGAGAGACCCUGAGCUCUCGUGUCUGUCUCCCUGCCAUGCCGUGAGGCCCAGCGCCGAUGGAGAGCAAGCGUAGAGGCUUCACAGUGUGUCUGCACGUCCUCGGGCUGUCCCCCCGUCAAGAGAUGGAAGCCAGGUCCCCUCGCUGGAACACGGCUGGCUCGGUGACGGGCUCCUCAAGAGCAGAAUGUGGGGGGGGUCACUGUGUGAUCCCCAGGGCGAGGUCACGAAAGCGAGGCAGCGUCCGCCCGGCCGUGUCUCUUGGGUCCCUUGCGCUUGCAACCAAGUGUCCACAUCAGGAGGAAGCCGAGUGACCACGUGGCUGUAUCCAGCAGACAGCCGGCCGCGGUGUGGGCGAGCCUGGAGACGAGGACGGCAGCCCAGACCCCGAGCGACCUGAGCCUGCGCCCCCUCACUGCGCUGGUUGACCCCGAGAACCGGGAGAGGCCAUAAUAAAAUAUUGAACUGUUGUGUUUGAAACGAUUAC